AGAGUUUGAUCCUGGCUCAGGACGAACGCUGGCGGCGUGCUUAACACAUGCAAGUCGAACGAAAAGACGGAAAGAGCUUGCUCUUUUCAGAAUUGAGUGGCAAACGGGUGAGUAACACGUAAACAACCUGCCUUCAGGAUGGGGACAACAGACGGAAACGACUGCUAAUACCGAAUAAGUUCCAAGGGCCGCAUGGCCCAUGGAAGAAAAGGUGGCCUCUACCUGUAAGCUAUCGCCUGAAGAGGGGUUUGCGUCUGAUUAGCUGGUUGGAGGGGUAACGGCCCACCAAGGCGACGAUCAGUAGCCGGUCUGAGAGGAUGAACGGCCACACUGGAACUGAGACACGGUCCAGACUCCUACGGGAGGCAGCAGUGGGGAAUCUUCCGCAAUGGGCGAAAGCCUGACGGAGCAACGCCGCGUGAGUGAUGACGGCCUUCGGGUUGUAAAACUCUGUGAUCCGGGACGAAAAGGCAGAGUGCGAAGAACAAACUGCAUUGACGGUACCGGAAAAGCAAGCCACGGCUAACUACGUGCCAGCAGCCGCGGUAAUACGUAGGUGGCAAGCGUUGUCCGGAAUUAUUGGGCGUAAAGCGCGCGCAGGCGGCUUCCCAAGUCCCUCUUAAAAGUGCGGGGCUUAACCCCGUGAUGGGAAGGAAACUGGGAAGCUGGAGUAUCGGAGAGGAAAGUGGAAUUCCUAGUGUAGCGGUGAAAUGCGUAGAGAUUAGGAAGAACACCGGUGGCGAAGGCGACUUUCUGGACGAAAACUGACGCUGAGGCGCGAAAGCGUGGGGAGCAAACAGGAUUAGAUACCCUGGUAGUCCACGCCGUAAACGAUGGAUACUAGGUGUGGGGGGUCUGACCCCCUCCGUGCCGCAGUUAACACAAUAAGUAUCCCACCUGGGGAGUACGAUCGCAAGGUUGAAACUCAAAGGAAUUGACGGGGGCCCGCACAAGCGGUGGAGUAUGUGGUUUAAUUCGACGCAACGCGAAGAACCUUACCAGGUCUUGACAUUGAUCGCGAUCUGCAGAAAUGCGGAGUUCUUCUUCGGAAGACGAGAAAACAGGUGGUGCACGGCUGUCGUCAGCUCGUGUCGUGAGAUGUUGGGUUAAGUCCCGCAACGAGCGCAACCC
rnacentral:rRNA from 1 species